rnacentral:rRNA from 1 species
GAAAGUAAGCAAGGGCAGACGGUGGAUGCCUUGGCUCUCGGAGGCGACGAAGGACGUGAUAAGCUGCGAAAAGCUCGGGGGAGGCGCAAAUAGCCCUUGAUCCCGGGAUAUCCGAAUGGGGCAACCCGGCAGGCUGAAGGCCUGCCAUCCCGUAAGGGAGGCGAACGUGGGGAACUGAAACAUCUAAGUACCCAUAGGAGGAGAAAAUAAACAAUGAUUCCGUAAGUAGUGGCGAGCGAACACGGAAGAGCCCAAACCCAUGUCGUCUAGGCGACACGGGGGUUGUAGGACCACGACGUGGCAAGAUAGAGUCAAGUGGAACGCCUUGGAAAAGGCGACCGUAGAGGGUGAUAGUCCCGUACACGACUGACGAUUGAAGCCUAGUGGCAUCCUGAGUAGCGCGGGGCACGAGAAAUCUUGCGUGAAACUGCGGGGCCCAUCCCGUAAGGCUAAAUACUCCCGAGAGACCGAUAGCGAACCAGUACCGUGAGGGAAAGGUGAAAAGAACCCCGAGCAGGGGAGUGAAAUAGACCCUGAACCCGUCUGCCUACAAGCGGUCGGAGCGUCGUAAUGACGUGACGGCGUGCCUUUUGCAUAAUGAACCUACGAGUUACCUUCCCCGGCAAGGUUAAGUACCUAAGGUACGGAGCCGAAGCGAAAGCGAGUCUGAAGAGGGCGGCCAGUCGGGGGGGGUAGACGCGAAACCGAGUGAUCUACCCUUGGCCAGGUUGAAGGUUGGGUAACACCAACUGGAGGACCGGAUGGGUAAGCGUUGAAAAGCUUUCCAAUGAGCUGAGGGUAGGGGUGAAAGGCUAAUCAAACUCGGAGAUAGCUCGUACUCCCCGAAAUGCAUUUAGGUGCAGCCUCUUUAUAGUAUAUCGUGAGGUAGAGCGACUGAUUGGAUGCGAGGGCUUCACCGCCUAUCAAGUCCAGAUAAACUCCGAAUGCGCGAUAUAUAUUUAAAGGGAGUGAGGGCGCGGGUGCUAAGGUCCGUGUCCGAGAGGAGAAGAAUCCAGACCACCGGCUAAGGCCCCCAAAUGAUCGUUGAGUUGAACUAACGAGGUCGGAUCGCAGAGACAGCUAGGAUGUUGGCUUGGAAGCAGCCAUUCAUUUAAAGAGUGCGUAACAGCUCACUAGUCGAGCGAUCUGGCGUGGAUAAUAAUCGGGCAUAAACGAUCUGCCGAAGCCGUGGAUGUCGCAAGACAUGGUAGGGGAGCAUUCCAUGCGGCGUCGAAGAUGAGGGAUGACCCUUGUUGGAGCGCAUGGAAAAGCAAAUGUAGGUAUGAGUAACGAUAAGGGGGGCGAGAAACCCCCCCGCCGAAAGACCAAGGUUUCCUGAUCAACGCUAAUCGGAUCAGGGUGAGUCGGGACCUAAGGCUAAGCCGAACGGCGACGCCGAUGGAAGAAUGGGUUAAUAUUCCCAUACUGCCUCAUGGAGUGACGUGGAGACGGAGAAGUGACAGUCCUGCCGGCUGACGGAAUAGCCGGUUGAAGGGUGUAGAUAUUGAUUCCCGUAGGCAAAUCCGCGGGGAGAGUCGAACCUGACAGUAUACGGAGCGCUUGCGCAACGUAAUAUGGACGUAACCAUGCUCCCAAGAAAAUCCGCUAAACUUAUCCAUGCGGCACCCGUACCGUAAACGGACACACGUGGUCGGGUUGAGAAUACUGAGGCGCUCGAGUGACUCACGGUUAAGGAACUAGGCAAAUUGACCCUGUAACUUCGGGAUAAAGGGUCCUCGUCGUAAGGCGAGGCGCAGAGAAUAGGUCCAGGCAACUGUUUAACAAAAACACAUGGCUGUGCUAAAUGGAAACAUGAUGUAUACAGCCUGACACCUGCCCGGUGCUGGAAGGUUAAGAGGAGAUGUCAUCGCGAGAGAAGCGUUGAAUUGAAGCCCCAGUAAACGGCGGCCGUAACUAUAACGGUCCUAAGGUAGCGAAAUUCCUUGUCGGGUAAGUUC